CUGUAGACUGCCUGCGCCGGCCUCAGCCUGAGUUAAAAGGGAAUCCAGUGCGAAUCUGGAGCUGACGCGCAGCGGUAAGGAAUGUCGUGGCGAUCGCCUUGCAGACACUGUCCAGCCGGAUGGGAAGUCUUCGCCACCUAUGGUUCCCAGCCCGAAGACCUGCCGGUGUGACGUCGCAACU
rnacentral:ncRNA from 2 species